rnacentral:lncRNA from 14 species
AUGAGUUUUUUUUUAUUCCAGUUUGAAAAUGCAAAAAAAAAGAAGAAAUCCGCCCAUUGCUACUUUAAAGAAGACCAACUCCUCCCUGUGUGUAAAGACCAUUUUUUUAAUCACUUUAUUCAUAUCAGCAAGGCCCAGUUUUCAGUAGUUUACACUUCUCAUGGACAACGAUACAGAAUUUGCAGUUGCAUGGACAGAAUUAACCUGGACACAUCCACUACACGGGGCAGGGGCUGCGGAGACGUCCUGGCCACGCUCCCAGGGCUUCCCAUGGGGCUGGCAGCACCCAGAGCCCUGGCACAGCUCAGGGGUGCCCAGGGCUGCAGGAACAGAGCCCAGGGCAGCAUCCACAGCCCUGGUACAGCUCAGGGGUGCCCAGGGCUGCAGGAACAGGGCUCAGGGCAGCACCCACAGCCCUGCAGAGCCCAGGGCAGCAUCCACAGCCCUGGUACAGCUCAGGGCAGCACCCACAGCCCUGCAGGGCUCAGGGCAGUACCCAGAGCCUUGGCAGAGCUCAGGGCAGCAUCCACAGCCCUGGCAGAGCUCAGGGCAGCAUCCACAGCCCUGCAGGGCUCAGGGCAGCACCCACAGCCCUGCAGAGCUCAGGGCAGCAUCCACAGCCCUGGUACAGCUCAGGGCAGCACCCACAGCCCUGGUACAGCUCAGGGCAGCACCCACAGCCCUGCAGAGCUCAGGGCAGCACCCACAGCCCUGCAGGGCUCAGGGCAGCAUCCACAGCCCUGCAGAGCUCAGGGCAGCAUCCACAGCCCUGGCAGAGCUCAGGGCAGCACCCACAGCCCUGCAGAGCCCAGGGCAGCAUCCACAGCCCUGGUACAGCUCAGGGCAGCAUCCACAGCCCUGGCAGAGCUCAGGGCAGCACCCAGAGCCCUGGCAGGGGUGCCCAGGGCUGCAGGAACAGGGCUCAGGGGUCACCAGUGCCCCCAGCAGCCAGGGGACACUGCUGGCUUUGGCUCUGCUCCACAGCUGCACCUGGGGCUGGGGUGGAAUUUCUUGUGGGUUUUUUUUUUUAGGGAUGAAAAAGUCUUGGGGACAACACUCUCCAGACAAGGAUUUCAGUGUUCUGAUGGUGAAAAGGUCAAAGCUUUUAAAAAAUAA